GAUUCAACGGCCGCGGUACUCUGACCGUGCAAAGGUAGCACAAUCACUUGUUCUUUAAAUGAGGACUAGAAUCAAUGGCAUCACGAGGGUCCCACUGUCUCCUUUUUCUAAUCAGUGAAAUUGAUCUCCUCGUGAAGAAGCGAGGAUAACUUUAUAAGACGAGAAGACCCCAUGGAGCUUAAAACUCAAUAGAUAACCCUACAACCACUAAAUAUUUUAGGGGGCCUAUCUAUUAGUUUUCGGUUGGGGUGACCACGGAGAACAGCCUAACCUCCGUAAUGAAAAGAAUAAAAUCAUAAUCUAAGAGUUACACCUCUAGGAAUUAAUAAAUUAACUUACAGUGAUCCAAUACUUUAUUGAUCAAUGGACCAAGUUACCCUGGGGAUAACAGCGCUAUCCACUUCUAGAGUCCAUAUCGCCAAGUGGGUUUACGACCUCGAUGUUGGAUCAGGGUGUCCCAGUGGUGCAGCC
rnacentral:rRNA from 1 species